UCAGCCGGAAUCGCACACCUGACAUUCAUGUUGUGGCCAUUCUGGCAGUCAGACGUGUGGAUCGGAAAAAUCCGGAAAACCCAAGCCGAGCCGAGAACCCGAGAGUCCCCCAAGUGCAAAGUGGAGGAAAAGUUGCUCCGUUCGCGUUAACGGUUUACAAUUACGAUUCGCGGUUCGCGUUAACGGGGUUUUUCCGCUAAAAACUCGAAAGUUAACCCAUUAAUUCGCGUGAGUGCGCCGCAAUAAUAUCAAUAAAUUCCUCAACAAUAACUAUGCCAACUGCAGUUCGCUCUAAACUAAACUAAACUCAGCCAAACUAAACCCAACUAAUCCAAACUAAACCAAGCCAGAGACCAAACAAAAUAGAGAAAAACUUGUUGAAGUACUUGAUUGAUGUGUGUGCCCAAUUGGCUGCCGAAUUGAGCGAGUAGAAAAGCGACGAAGGAAAGAAGUCUCCGCUGCCUGGGAAAAAGGCAUGCAUCGGGUUCUCCUCCGUUCAGCGCCAGUUCAGCUGCUCAACUUGUCGACUUUCGGCCCAAACCGCUGACCAGGCCAGGCCAGGACCUCCUAGGACCUCCCAGGACUCGAGGAGGAGGACGAGACCGAAACAGAAACAGAACAGAACGGGACACGGCCAGUCCGCAGCCAUGGCUGCUGAAUAAUUAAUGCAGUUUCGCUCCCCGGUGCUCGGCAAACGACAAAACUAAUUUAUGGCAUUAAAAAUGCAUAUUUUCUAGCAGUGCGUCGCCAGUUUUUAUCAUUUGCCAGGCGAAAAGCAGCUGUGCCAGAAAAUAAAGGAAAAAUAGGAAAGGAAGAAUUGGAUUCGACUGCGGUGGAUUUUGAGCCCGAGUCCGAAAGUUCUUUAGUCAGCAAACAG